CUGGGAUGGUGGUGCCAAAACGUCAAUAAUUCCGUAUAAGCUUCAUGGCGGUCCUGUGUUGCAGUUGACCCAAGGUGACACACCCAUGCUAUUCUUUAGGUUAUCAACUUCUACUACAAGCUGAAAUAUAGCAGCUCAGAGAUUGCGUCCUCACUGUGCUACUGAACCUCGUUCCCAGCAUGAGCUCUGCCACAGCAACAAGUUUCCUGGCAACUGGGAACUUAUAUGCAAGCCUAGCAGGGGAAACAACUACUGUUUCUGUGAUUGUCAAACAGCUUUUACCAGUGUUGUGACAAAAUUUAGAUCCAUUGCACAUGAAGCCACUAUCUGAGGAAGAAUUCGAAGAAAUAGCUGAUACGUUCUACAUGAAGUGAGAGUUCCCGAACUGUAAAUGUUCCAUCAGUGGGAAGCAUACCAGAAUUCUAAGCCAUACAGCGUACCCUCUGCUGAGACACCUGAUGAAAUCUUACAUCGGGAAAAGUCUGUACCACUGGAAAGUUCAGCAAAGCCCUUUUACGAGCAUAAAAAACUGUUGAAUGUGCUUUUGGAAUUGUGGCAUCAAUGUGGCAAAUAUGUAACAAACCCAUUGAAACAAAAACUGAGACAGUGGAACUGAUAGUAACAGUUGUUUCCAUUUUACACAAUGUCAUUAUAGACAAAGAAAAUACACAACAUUACAGAGUAGAGACGUACUUUCUGGAGUUCACACAUAAAGGAAG